rnacentral:tRNA from 1 species
GUCCUCGUAGCUCAGUUGGCAGAGCAUCUGACUCUUAAUCAGAGGGUCCUCGGUUCAAGCCCGAGCGGGGACACCA